ensembl:snRNA U6 U6 spliceosomal RNA
UCGCUUUGGCAGCACACAUACUAAAAUUUGAACAAUACAGAGAAGAUUAGCGUGGCCUCUGAGCAAAGAUGACAUGCAGAUUCAUGAAGUGUUCCAUACUUUU